UACCAUCCUGAAGAAUUAGAAGGGCAGGACGGACCAAUGGAAUUGUUUAUUGUACCCGCCGACCCUCCUCGAACUCGGCAGAAACGUGCAAGAGCAACUGGAAAACAGGCAGCAUCUGAUGUUCAUGGAGAUGGAGGAAGUGUACCAACAACACAACAUGCAGAACCUACUGCCAAAGGGGCACAGCCGCAGCCGCAACCUACUACUUCCAAACUGAAGUCAAAGGUAUGGCUUGACUUCACCAAGAUCUCGAAAGAUGGUGAUGAGAUGACUAUAGCUCAAUGCAACCAUUGCGACUCUAAACUGUCGGCUAAAUCGACAAAUGGCACAUCUCAUCUCCUUAGACACAUUGAAAGUAAGCAUAAGGUUGAACAAGCGACAAUGAAUAAAUUUUUCUUGAAAUCUGAAACAAAUGAUGAUGGAACAGCUGCAUUAAAAAAUGGUAGAUUUGAUGCUCAAGUUGCUAGAAAUUCGGUCUCUAUUUAUCUUGUAUCCGGUGCUCAUCCAUUUACAACAGUUGAAGAAGAUGGAUUUAGAACAAUGAUGUCUGCUUGUUGUCCACAAUUCAAGUCUAUUGGUCGGCACACAAUAAAAAGAGAGAUAAUGGCAAUGUUUCUUAGCCAGAAAAAGGAAUUGAUGGAAAUUAUUUUAGCUGCCCCUGGUAGAGUUAGUUUCACAUCCGACAAUUGGAAAUCUGAAGUCACCAAGCAUAGCUAUAUUUGCAUUACUUGCCAUUACAUAGAUGCUGAUUGGAAACUAAACAAAAGGAUUGUAUGGUUAAAAAAAAUUGAUCCACCCUAUGAUGGAGCAUCUAUUGCCGAUGAGGUCCACCUAGCUUUCCGUGAAUGGAGGUUUGAUAAGAAAGUGAUGUGCAUCACUCUGGAUAAUGCAGCCUAUAAUGAUAGGAUGGUGGCUUGCUUGCGUACCCACUUGUCAAAAGGUGCUUUACCUUUGUCCGGUAAAUUCUUCCAAAUUCGUUGUUGUGCACAUAUACUGAACUUGGUAGUUCAAGCCGGUUUGACAUUGAUUGAUAAGUGUGUUGACAAACUUAGAGAUGGUAUAAUGUACCUAAAGGCUUCAAGCACUAGGCUGCAUAAGUUUUAUAGUACUGCUACAACUAUAUUCAACCUUGAAGAAACAAAAAGGUUGAAACCUGAUAUGCCCAUCCGUUGGAAUUCAACCUACACUAUGCUUGGCUGCUGUUUGUACUUUAGAGACGUGCUGCAUUGGUAUUCUGAGAGGGAC
rnacentral:rRNA from 1 species